rnacentral:lncRNA from 1 species
CAGUUAGCGCUCAAAAAAAUGUUAGCUCCUAUUAAAAAGUUUGCAUUCGGGAGAGCCAAAUACCACAUGACGAUGACCAGGGAUGGAUCUCUGAAGACAGAGUGCUAUAUAUGACAUGUUUCUUAUGUGUUUCUAUGUGACUGUGGAUUUAAAGGCAAUCCAGACUGCCAGAGACAGAGAAGCCAAAGUGCAUCUGGGAAGCAAAUGUGUGACUGCACAUCACUGGACAUCAAGUGUGGAUUAUGUCUUCACAUCAAACUGGAAGACUAGAGAAGCUGAACAUAUGAGUGAGCUCAGCUAAGAGACCAAGGAAAGAGGAGAAAAGAGGAACCAAGUGAUAGGUGAUUGAAAGAUAUGACUAGGCGGGAAGGCCAGUCUCGUGUCUCCCACUGCUUGUAUGAGAAGGGCAAA